rnacentral:lncRNA from 1 species
CCAUCCUAUCAGUUCUACUAUUCGAUUCAACGUUUCUCAGAAAUUCAACAUCACUAAGUUCGUCGGGCAAAGCAAAGCAAACAUUUUCGGGAUCUAGGAGCUAAUCGAUCCUAAUGAGUGCCACGUGCUGCUCUCUAGAUGUCUGAAUACUGCUACCGAUUCCUCUAUUAUAUGUGUAUAAUAGUUGAAAAUUCUCACGUCUUUCGAAAUCAUUUUCACGGACAAUAACAAGAAAGAAGAAGAAGAA